rnacentral:rRNA from 1 species
GAUCAUGGCUCGGGACGAACGCUGGCGGCGUGCUUAACACAUGCAAGUCGAACGAAGAGCGAUGGAAGCUUGCUUCUAUCAAUCUUAGUGGCGAACGGGUGAGUAACGCGUAAUCAACCUGCCCUUCAGAGGGGGACAACAGUUGGAAACGACUGCUAAUACCGCAUACGAUCUGACCUCGGCAUCGAGGAUAGAUGAAAGGUGGCCUCUAUUUAUAAGCUAUCACUGAAGG